GCUGGCGGCAGGCCUAACACAUGCAAGUCGAACGCUCUCUUCGGAGGGAGUGGCAGACGGGUGAGUAACACGUGGGAAUCUACCCAGUACUACGGAAUAACCCAGGGAAACUUGAGCUAAUACCGUAUACGCCCUCCGGGGGAAAGAUUUAUCGGUAUUGGAUGAGCCCGCGUUUGAUUAGCUAGUUGGUGAGGUAAUGGCUCACCAAGGCGACGAUCAAUAGCUGGUCUGAGAGGAUGAUCAGCCACACUGGGACUGAGACACGGCCCAGACUCCUACGGGAGGCAGCAGUGGGGAAUAUUGGACAAUGGGCGCAAGCCUGAUCCAGCCAUGCCGCGUGAGUGAUGACGGCCUUAGGGUUGUAAAGCUCUUUCAACGGUGAAGAUAAUGACGGUAACCGUAGAAGAAGCCCCGGCUAACUUCGUGCCAGCAGCCGCGGUAAUACGAAGGGGGCUAGCGUUGUUCGGAAUAACUGGGCGUAAAGCGCACGUAGGCGGAUUGUUAAGUUAGGGGUGAAAUCCCGGGGCUCAACC
rnacentral:rRNA from 1 species